AGCGAACGCUGGCGGCAGGCUUAACACAUGCAAGUCGAGCGGGCGUAGCAAUACGUCAGCGGCAGACGGGUGAGUAACGCGUGGGAACGUACCUUUUGGUUCGGAACAACACAGGGAAACUUGUGCUAAUACCGGAUAAGCCCUUACGGGGAAAGAUUUAUCGCCGAAAGAUCGGCCCGCGUCUGAUUAGCUAGUUGGUGUGGUAACGGCGCACCAAGGCGACGAUCAGUAGCUGGUCUGAGAGGAUGAUCAGCCACAUUGGGACUGAGACACGGCCCAAACUCCUACGGGAGGCAGCAGUGGGAAUAUUGGACAAUGGGCGCAAGCCUGAUCCAGCCAUGCCGCGUGAGUGAUGAAGGCCCUAGGGUUGUAAAGCUCUUUUGUGCGGGAAGAUAAUGACGGUACCGCAAGAAUAAG
rnacentral:rRNA from 1 species